rnacentral:rRNA from 1 species
GGGGAAUCUUCCGCAAUGGGGCGCAAGCCUGACGGAGCAACGCCGCGUGAGUGAAGAAGGGUUUCGACUCGUAAAGCUCUGUUGUCGGGGACGAAUGUGGAGAUGGUGAAUAAUCAUUUUCAAUGACGGUACCUGACGAGGAAGCCACGGCUAACUACGUGCCAGCAGCCGCGGUAAUACGUAGGUGGCAAGCGUUGUCCGGAAUUAUUGGGCGUAAAGCGCGCGCAGGCGGCUUUCUAAGUCCAUCUUAAAAGUGCGGGGCUUAACCCCGUGAUGGGAUGGAAACUGGGAAGCUGGAGUAUCGGAGAGGAAAGUGGAAUUCCUAGUGUAGCGGUGAAAUGCGUAGAGAUUAGGAAGAACACCGGUGGCGAAGGCGACUUUCUGGACGACAACUGACGCUGAGGCGCGAAAGCGUGGGGAGCAAACAGGA